UACGUAGGUGGCAAGCGUUGUCCGGAUUUACUGGGCGUAAAGAGCGCGCAGGCGGUCGUUCAAGUCGCGUGUGAAAGCCCCCGGCUCAACCGGGGAAGGUGACUGCAAACUGGGCUUCUUGAGGGCGAUAGGGGAGAGCGGAAUUCCUGGUGUAGCGGUGAAAUGCGUAGAGAUCAGGAGGAACACCAGUGGCGAAGGCGAGUCUCUGGGAUGAUGCUGACGCUGAGGCGCGAAAGCCAGGGGAGCAAACGGG
rnacentral:rRNA from 1 species